rnacentral:rRNA from 1 species
UACGUAGGUGGCAAGCGUUGUCCGGAUUUACUGGGCGUAAAGAGCGCGCAGGCGGUCGUUCAAGUCGCGUGUGAAAGCCCCCGGCUCAACUGGGGAGGGUCACGCGAUACUGAUCGACUCGAAGGCAGGAGAGGGAAGUGGAAUUCCCGGUGUAGUGGUGAAAUGCGUAGAUAUCUGGAGGAACACCGGUGGCGAAGGCGGCGUCCUGGACCAACACUGACACUGAGGAGCGAAAGCCAGGGGAGCAAACGGG